rnacentral:rRNA from 1 species
AGCGUACACGGUGGAUGCCCUGGCAGUCAGAGGCGAUGAAGGACGUGCUAAUCUGCGAUAAGCGUCGGUAAGGUGAUAUGAACCGUUAUAACCGGCGAUUUCCGAAUGGGGAAACCCAGUGUGAUUCGUCACACUAUCAUUAACUGAAUCCAUAGGUUAAUGAGGCGAACCGGGGGAACUGAAACAUCUAAGUACCCCGAGGAAAAGAAAUCAACCGAGAUUCCCCCAGUAGCGGCGAGCGAACGGGGAGCAGCCCAGAGCCUGAAUCAGUGUGUGUGUUAGUGGAAGCGUCUGGAAAGGCGCGCGAUACAGGGUGACAGCCCCGUACACAAAAAUGCACAUGCUGUGAGCUCGAUGAGUAGGGCGGGACACGUGGUAUCCUGUCUGAAUAUGGGGGGACCAUCCUCCAAGGCUAAAUACUCCUGACUGACCGAUAGUGAACCAGUACCGUGAGGGAAAGGCGAAAAGAACCCCGGCGAGGGGAGUGAAAAAGAACCUGAAACCGUGUACGUACAAGCAGUGGGAGCCUCUUUAUGGGGUGACUGCGUACCUUUUGUAUAAUGGGUCAGCGACUUAUAUUCUGUAGCAAGGUUAACCGAAUAGGGGAGCCGAAGGGAAACCGAGUCUUAACUGGGCGUUAAGUUGCAGGGUAUAGACCCGAAACCCGGUGAUCUAGCCAUGGGCAGGUUGAAGGUUGGGUAACACUAACUGGAGGACCGAACCGACUAAUGUUGAAAAAUUAGCGGAUGACUUGUGGCUGGGGGGGAAAGGCCAAUCAAACCGGGAGAUAGCUGGUUCUCCCCGAAAGCUAUUUAGGUAGCGCCUCGUGAAUUCAUCUCCGGGGGUAGAGCACUGUUUCGGCAAGGGGGUCAUCCCGACUUACCAACCCGAUGCAAACUGCGAAUACCGGAGAAUGUUAUCACGGGAGACACACGGCGGGUGCUAACGUCCGUCGUGAAGAGGGAAACAACCCAGACCGCCAGCUAAGGUCCCAAAGUCAUGGUUAAGUGGGAAACGAUGUGGGAAGGCCCAGACAGCCAGGAUGUUGGCUUAGAAGCAGCCAUCAUUUAAAGAAAGCGUAAUAGCUCACUGGUCGAGUCGGCCUGCGCGGAAGAUGUAACGGGGCUAAACCAUGCACCGAAGCUGCGGCAGCGACGCUUAUGCGUUGUUGGGUAGGGGAGCGUUCUGUAAGCCUGUGAAGGUGUACUGUGAGGUAUGCUGGAGGUAUCAGAAGUGCGAAUGCUGACAUAAGUAACGAUAAAGCGGGUGAAAAGCCCGCUCGCCGGAAGACCAAGGGUUCCUGUCCAACGUUAAUCGGGGCAGGGUGAGUCGACCCCUAAGGCGAGGCCGAAAGGCGUAGUCGAUGGGAAACAGGUUAAUAUUCCUGUACUUGGUGUUACUGCGAAGGGGGGACGGAGAAGGCUAUGUUGGCCGGGCGACGGUUGUCCCGGUUUAAGCGUGUAGGCUGAUUUUCCAGGCAAAUCCGGAGAAUCAAGGCUGAGGCGUGAUGACGAGGCACUACGGUGCUGAAGCAACAAAUGCCCUGCUUCCAGGAAAAGCCUCUAAGCAUCAGGUAACAUCAAAUCGUACCCCAAACCGACACAGGUGGUCAGGUAGAGAAUACCAAGGCGCUUGAGAGAACUCGGGUGAAGGAACUAGGCAAAAUGGUGCCGUAACUUCGGGAGAAGGCACGCUGAUAUGUAGGUGAAGCGACUUGCUCGUGGAGCUGAAAUCAGUCGAAGAUACCAGCUGGCUGCAACUGUUUAUUAAAAACACAGCACUGUGCAAACACGAAAGUGGACGUAUACGGUGUGACGCCUGCCCGGUGCCGGAAGGUUAAUUGAUGGGGUCAGCCGCAAGGCGAAGCUCUUGAUCGAAGCCCCGGUAAACGGCGGCCGUAACUAUAACGGUCCUAAGGUAGCGAAAUUCCUUGUCGGGUAAGUUCCGACCUGCACGAAUGGCGUAAUGAUGGCCAGGCUGUCUCCACCCGAGACUCAGUGAAAUUGAACUCGCUGUGAAGAUGCAGUGUACCCGCGGCAAGACGGAAAGACCCCGUGAACCUUUACUAUAGCUUGACACUGAACAUUGAGCCUUGAUGUGUAGGAUAGGUGGGAGGCUUUGAAGUGUGGACGCCAGUCUGCAUGGAGCCGACCUUGAAAUACCACCCUUUAAUGUUUGAUGUUCUAACGUGGACCCGUGAUCCGGGUUGCGGACAGUGUCUGGUGGGUAGUUUGACUGGGGCGGUCUCCUCCUAAAGAGUAACGGAGGAGCACGAAGGUUGGCUAAUCCUGGUCGGACAUCAGGAGGUUAGUGCAAUGGCAUAAGCCAGCUUGACUGCGAGCGUGACGGCGCGAGCAGGUGCGAAAGCAGGUCAUAGUGAUCCGGUGGUUCUGAAUGGAAGGGCCAUCGCUCAACGGAUAAAAGGUACUCCGGGGAUAACAGGCUGAUACCGCCCAAGAGUUCAUAUCGACGGCGGGGUUUGGCACCUCGAUGUCGGCUCAUCACAUCCUGGGGCUGAAGUAGGUCCCAAGGGUAUGGCUGUUCGCCAUUUAAAGUGGUACGCGAGCUGGGUUUAGAACGUCGUGAGACAGUUCGGUCCCUAUCUGCCGUGGGCGCUGGAGAACUGAGGGGGGCUGCUCCUAGUACGAGAGGACCGGAGUGGACGCAUCACUGGUGUUCGGGUUGUCAUGCCAAUGGCACUGCCCGGUAGCUAAAUGCGGAAGAGAUAAGUGCUGAAAGCAUCUAAGCACGAAACUUGCCCCGAGAUGAGUUCUCCCUGACUCCUUGA